rnacentral:lncRNA from 10 species
CUUUCUUUGACAAUAAACUCCUACUUACUCCAAGGAUCACUUGUUCAAAUUUUCUAAUAAAACCAUAAAAGAUUUCAAUAUAUUCCUGAAAACCACACUGCCUUGCAAACAUUUCACUGCUAUUUGCAGGAAUACUCACGAAGUAAUGGGUUAAGCACCCUCUUCAGUAGUUCACCCUUAGGUGCGCUGGCUACUAUUUCAGUCAACCUGUGAAACAAAACGGACAUGCCUCUAUCAUAUCUUAAAUAAACCUUACAGCAAUCUUCAUAUUAAUACUACUUUCAUCUGUAUCAGUUCACCUGAUCUUUACAAUAAUCUGAAACGUAACAGGAAUUCAUUCUUCUGUUGUGAGAAAAUGGAUCAUAAAAGAUAUUUACCCAAGAUUAACAGGUUCUUGAAUGGCAGUUUUCUAAGAUAAACCAGUAUUUUUUCGACCAAGGCAUAUUGUCAGCAAUGUGCCCACAUAUAAAUGACAUAAAAAUGACAUUUUUCUGUAAAAGUUAAAUGUUUGUAAAUUUUCAUGCCAUAUCUUAAUAUCCAAAAUGGUUUACCUAAUUAAGCAUCGAACAACUUUUUUUUUGUUUGGUUUUUUUUUUUUUUUUUGAGACGGCAUCUUGCUCUGUCGCCCAGGCUGCAGUACAGUGGCACGAUCUCGGCUCGCUACAAGCUCCGCCUCCUGGGUUCACGCCAUUCUCCUGCCUCAGCCUCCCGAGUAGCUAGGACUACAGGCGCCCGCCACCACGCCCGGCUAAUAUUUUGUAUUUUUAGUAGAGACGGGGUUUCACCGUGUUAGCCAGGAUGGUCUCAAUCUCCUGACCUUGUGAUCCGCCCACCUUGGCCUCCCAAAGCGGUGGGAUUACAGGCGUGAGACACCGUGCCCAGCCAGCAUCUAACAACUUUUAACAAUGCUGUACAUCAAUGUGGUCCCCAUACCAGCAUCAGCAUUACCUGAGAACUAGUUAGAAAUGCAAAUUCCUGGGUCCUAGACUAGAUCUACUGAAUUAGCAGAGGGUGGGGGUGGCAAUCUAUGUUUUAACAAGCCCUCCAGGUAAUGCUGAAGCAUGUUAAUUUUUUUUUUUUUAUUUUUUUUAUUUUUGAGACAGAGUUUUGCUCUGUUGCCAAGGCUGGAGUGCAAUGGCGCAAUCUCAGCUCACUGCAACCUCUGCCUCCUGGGUUCAAGAGAUUCUCCUGCCUCAGCCUCCCAAAUAGCUGAAAUUACAGGCAUGCACCACCAUGCCCGGCUAAUUUUUUUUUUUUAAUUUAGUAGAGUCGGGGUUUCACCAUGUUGGUCAGGCUGGUCUGAACUCCUGACCUCAGGUGAUCCAUCCUCCUCGGCCUCCCAAAGUGCUGGAAUUACAGGCGUGAGCUACAGUGCCUGAUCAACUUUAUUUAUUUAUUUAAUGUAGACUAGUUAAGUGAAGCAGUGGGAGUGGAGAAGGAACAAAGAAAUGAUGUAUGUUAAACUUCAGGAACCACUGCUAUAGAAUAUGAGUCAGCAGGGCCUUCCAGCUAGCUGGAAUACAGCUGAAAUACAAAAAUACAGCUACAAUCAUUACUUUACCUCACCGAACUUCCCUUUUUCUUACGUAAACCAGAAUUUCUCUCCCUUUGCCCUCUGCACAAGAUAUCCAUCUGUCUUCUCACAGAGUAGCUAAUAAGUCUCCUCAAUUUACCAAGAAAUCAUAACCAUUUGAAGUAACCCAAAACUUAGCUAAAAAACACAUUGGGCUUGCUUCGGCAGCACAUAUACUAAAAUUAGAACGAAACAGAGAUUAGCACGACCCCUGCACAAGGAUGACAUGAAAUUUGUUAAGUGUUCCAUAUUUUUUAAUUUUAAAUUUAAAAUUUAAAAAAAUUACAAUGAAAAAGAAAGACAUUGGCUGGGCCCGGUCGCUCAUACCUGUAACUCCAACACUUUAGAAGGCUGAAGUGGGAGGAUUGCUAAAGCCACAAGUUCAAGACCAACUUGGGCAACAAAGCAAGACCCCAUGUCUACAAAAAAAUUUAAAAAUUAGCCAGGCAUUGUGGUGGGCUCCUGUAGUUCCACCUACUUGGGAGGCUGAGGCAGGAGGAUUGCUUGAGCCCAGGAGUUCAAGACUGCAGUGAGCUAUGAUCACGCCAACUGCACUCCAGCCUCAGGGAAGGGGGAGUGAGACACCACCUCUAAAAAAACUAAAGACAACCGAGCACAGUGGCUCAUGCCUGUAAUCCCAGCACUUUGGGAGGCCGAGGCAGGCAGAUUGCCUGAGGUCAAGAGAUCAAGACCAGCAAGGCUAACAUGUUGAAACCCCAUCUCUACUAAAAAUACAAAAAUUAGCUGGGCGUGGUGGCGCACGCCUAUAGUCCCAGCUACUCGGGAGGCUGCGGCAGGAGAAUCGCUUGAACCUGGGAUGCAGAGGUUGCAGUGAGCUGAGAUCGU